GCUGUUUAGGGAUAGCUCAGUUGGUUAGAGCAUGGUGCUGAUAAUGCCAAGGUUGCAGGUUCAAUCCCUGCAUGGGACAGCU